rnacentral:ncRNA from 1 species
GAAGAGCAACACGGGUGCCAGGUUCUCGCCUUUUAUAGCCGGCCUUCUGUCCAGAGGGCUGGCUGGGUGGACCUGAGCUGAGAUCAUACCGUUGAGCGGAACAGGAUAAUGCCUGCGUCGCUAGUUGCUUUCAUGGAUCG